rnacentral:rRNA from 1 species
UACGAAGGGGGCUAGCGUUGCUCGGAAUCACUGGGCGUAAAGCUCACGUAGGCGGAUUGCUAAGUCAGGGGUGAAAUCCUGGAGCUCAACUCCAGAACUGCCUUUGAUACUGGCGAUCUUGAGUCCGGGAGAGGUGAGUGGAACUGCGAGUGUAGAGGUGAAAUUCGUAGAUAUUCGCAAGAACACCAGUGGCGAAGGCGGCUCACUGGCCCGGUACUGACGCUGAGACGCGAAAGCGUGGGGAGCGAACAGG